CACACACAAAUACAUAAUAUACUUUAAAGUGUAAUUUAUUCCAGUGAUCAUAGCCGAAUUUUCAGCAUCAUUACUCCAGUCUUCAGUGUCACAUGAUCCUUCAGAAAUCAAUAUGCUGAUUUAUUAUCAAUGCUGAAAAAUGUUGUGCUGCUUAAUAUUUGUUUUAUAACCUGUGAUACAUUUUUCAGGAUUCGUUUAAUGAAUAAAAAGUCAAAAAUUACAGCAUUUAUUUAAAACAGAACUAUUUUGUAACAGUAUACACUACCGUUCAAAAGUUGGGGUCAGUAAUGUUUCCUUUAUUUUUUUUGAAAGAAAGUAAUACCUUUAUUCAGCAAAGAUGUGUUAAAUUUUGGAAAAGUGACCGUUAACACUUACAUUGUUAGAAAAGAUUUAUAUUUUGAAUAAAUGCUGUUCUUUUUAACUUUUUAUUGAUCAUUGAAUCCUGAAAAAGUAUCACACAAAACAAAUAAUAAUAUUAAGCAGCACAACUGUUUCCAAUACUGAUAAUAGCAGCAAAUCAUCAUAGAAUGAUUUCUGAAGGAUCAUGUGAAGACUGGAGUAAUGGUUGGUGAAAAUUCAGCUUUAAUCAUGGAAACAAUUAUAUUUUAAAGUAUAUUAAUUUAGAAAACUAUUAUUUUUAAUUGUAAUAUUACACAAUAUUACUGUGCUUUCUGUAUUUUUGAUCAAAUUGGCUUUAAGCAGUCUUGAUGAUAAGAGACUAGUAGGCCUAGUAAUCGGACCACCCUCUUCAUACAGGAUUACACUCCUACUGAUGUAGUGCCAUCAAAACCAUGGUGGAUUUGAACAUUUGACCCUUUAAAAGAGAAAUAAGAUACGGAUAUAAGCUUUUCAGACAUGUUUUAAGGAUGAAUGAAAAAACAACAGUAAAAGAGACUUACUCCAAAGCAAUGUUUGACUGUAAAGCCAUUUCUGCCUGGAACCUAUGAAAGCCCUCAGUCUUUUGCAGCAUUAACAGUGUUAGCUUUAAAAAAAGAAGAUACAAUUAUGAAAGAUAUAUGUACAGUGCAUUUAAUGAUAUUGUCCCAGGUACUGUAUCAAAGUGUCUGUAUAUAUACCUCAUAGAACGUAAGUUGUGUUGUCCAGGGAAACCCUAGGCAGCUGUGUUACCUUGUAUAUUCUUUCAAUUAUCCUCUCUGUCUGUAGCAAAACAUUUGUUAAAUUUGUACAUAAUAGCAUUCGUAAUUACAUUCAUAAUUCUCUAACUUUUCAGUGGAAAAUCUACAUUGACAGUAUACAUUCCAAUGAAAUAUGAGAUGUUAAAAUAACGUCUGAUAUAUACUUUCUUAUGCAUCUGUACAGUCUUGUGUUCUUAAGGUAUAACAUAAACUUAUUUUAAAUAUAUAAAUUGUUAAACAAGGCAAACAGUAUGAAAUAACUGUUCUUCCUCAAAAAAAAACACAAAACUUUUUGCUAAGUUUCAUCCUCAGCUUUGGAGAAAAUGUGGGAUGUUUAAAUAAAAACAUCCUGCUGGAUCGGAUUGUGCCGUUUCUCAAGCCUUCGUGCAAUCUCUGAAUUGUAACCAAAAUCAGACAAAUGUAAGACAUGUAAACUUUUCUAGCUAUAACAGAUUAUAUUGUUAUACAAUAUGUGAACACAUGAAAAACAUUACAAAAGUAAAAAGUCAGUGAGAGACUACCUCUUUGUAAAUAACAAUGCUAAAAAUGAUAGCUAGGAUAUUAGUAGUAAAAUGGUUUGCUUAGUAAUUUGUAAUAUUUACCAAGACUUCUUGAUCCUGUAUUACAAUGUCAACCAACCAGCCCUUCUUCAGUAGUGCCAAUGUUCUGUAAAAUCAAAG
ensembl:lncRNA